rnacentral:rRNA from 1 species
UUUUGGGAAGAUUGACAGAUUGAGAGCUAUUUCUUGAUUCGAUGGAUGGUGGUGCAUGUCCGUUCUUAGUCGGUGGAGCGAUUUGUCUGGUUAAUUCCGAUGACGAACGAGAUUCUAGCCCAGUGGUUGUCAAUGGGGGUCCGCGAAGGGCAUUCUGGGGUUCCGCGAAGCCCUGUGUCAUCAGCCGAGCCCUGCAAUAAAAGUUGUCAUUUUUGAGGUCGAGAAGAAAUGUUUCAGUUUUCGGGCGCGUUUUCUCGUGUGUAUGUCAAUGAGAGAAGUCUACUUCACACUAGCCUUUAGUUAUAUCCAUUUAUCAAAUCAUUAUUAUAUUUAACCUAUAACUUUCCUCUCCUCUCACCACGAACGGGGUCCUUCAUCACCUCCACCGAUCCACAAGGGGUCCGCGAAACAUCGAUGGUUGAGAAACACUGCUCUAGGCUCUAGCCUAUUAAUUAGGUACGUGGUUCUCUGCACUUUGUACCCUUCUUAGAGGGACAAGCGGCUCCUAGUCGCACGAAACAGAGCAAUAACAGGUCUGUGAUGCCCUUAGAU